AUGGCGAUGAUCGGUGAAAUGGAUGCGGACAGCGUUGUAGAAUACUUCAGGGGCAAGAGCAUCCUCAUCACGGUGCUUGUGGAGAAGAUACUUAGGGUUCAGCCAGAUGUGAAGAAGCUCUUCCUCUUGAUUCGAGCCCCCAAUAUUGAAUCGGCAAAGCUUCGGAUUCAGUCAGAGGUUACAGGGAGCGGGAUCUUUCAACUGCUGAAAAAACAACAUGGUGUGUGGUUCAAUAAUUUCAUCGAAGAAAAGAUCUGUCCUUUGGCAGGCGACAUCAUGCACAAAGACUUUGGACUAGACAUUGCCAGCCUGAUAGAUUUGUCCAAGGACAUAGACAUCAUCGUCAACGGAGCUGCAACUACAAAUUUCUCUGAAAGAUUUAUAUGA
rnacentral:rRNA from 1 species